rnacentral:misc_RNA from 1 species
GAUGAAGAACGCAGCGAAAUGCGAUACUUGGUGUGAAUUGCAGAAUCCCGUGAACCAUCGAGUCUUUGAACGCAAGUUGCGCCCGAAGCCACUAGGCCGAGGGCACGCCUGCCUGGGCGUCACACGCCGUUGCCCCCCGAUCUACUCCUUCGGGAUUGCGGGGGGGCGGAUGAUGGCCUCCCGUGCGCCUAGCCGCGCGGUUGGCAUAAAUACCAAGUCCUCGGCGACGCACGCCACGACAAUCGGUGGUUGCGAAACCUCGGUUGCCCGUCGUGUGCGUUCGUCGCGCAUCGAGGGCUCGAAAAAAUGCUCGGCUCCGGCUGGGCUUUCAACGCGACCCCAGGUCAGGCGGGGUUACCCGCUGAAUUUAAGCAUAUCAAUAAGCGGAGGA